GUUAAUUUUAUUAGAAAGUAUUUUUCAUAUUUCUAAAAUUGUAUUAAUGGCUAUUUUUUUAAAAUUUUUGCGAUUUUUUUUAGCUAUCGAAUCUCCAGAUAGAUAUUUAAUGGAAUGGUGGGACGGAUUUUAUGAUAUAUACAAUACUUAUCAGGCUGAGAAGGCCUAACGAUCCUAUGUUAAGGAUGCAUGGACGACUGACAAUGUGGGAUAUCAUAUCCCUUCUGAUGGGCCAACCUAUUCUCCAAAUAUUGCUACAUCGGUACACGAUAUAUCUCAUGUGGAGCCGGCCUUCCACCUAACGACACCUGAGGAUGAACUGAGGACAAAUUUAAGCCAACCAAUGGAGUAGAUUACAAGUAUGCCUCAACAUUUGGAGGGCAAAGACGAGGGAGAGGGGGAUGAUACUAACUUUGAACGAACUGUGCAGAUGGAACCAAACUCCCGUCCACUUAAAAAGAUUAGGCUUCAGUUCCAGAACCUUCUGAAGCAGGUUCAUUGUAUUGGUUUCAAAUACAUAGCCUUUUAUGUUUUAGAAUCUUUUUUCAUUGAUCUUGAUAGCACAUUUGAUCCAACCUAAGUUAGUUUAUAGUCUUAUACGUCGACUUAAUAUGCAUUUUGAACUAGAUACCAAUGUCAACUUUUGUUAGUGUAUGAAUGUUAUGGCUGUUUGAAUGCUGUUUGUCAAUU